rnacentral:rRNA from 1 species
UACGUAGGGGGCUAGCGUUGUCCGGAAUCAUUGGGCGUAACGCGCGUGUAGGCGGCCCGGUAAGUCCGCUGUGAAAGUCGGGGGCUCAACCCUCGAAAGCCGGUGGAAACUGUCGGGCUAGAGUACGGAAGAGGCGAGUGGAAUUCCUGGUGUAGCGGUGAAAUGCGCAGAUAUCAGGAGGAACACCAAGUGCGAAGGCAGCUCGCUGGGACGUUACUGACGCUGAGACGCGAAAGCGUGGGGAGCAAACAGG